AUUCAUCAUCUUCCAGAAAAUGUUCAGAGAAAAAUAAUUGGCAAGUCAGACACAUAGAAUAAAACUAAUAUAGGUUAUUGUAGGGCAGAGUCGGAUAUAGUGAGGGAAAUGACUAUAACAUUUUAAAUGAAUUGCAUUGCAUUGUAUUUUAUAGAACACUUUACCUUUUUUUCUUGGAACUCAAACAAAUUCAUUAAAAUUCACAGGUUUGUCAG